rnacentral:rRNA from 1 species
CGUGCUUAACACAUGCAAGUCGAACGGAAAGGCCCUGCUUUUGUGGGGUGCUCGAGUGGCGAACGGGUGAGUAACACGUGAGUAACCUGCCCUUGACUUUGGGAUAACUUCAGGAAACUGGGGCUAAUACCGGAUAGGAGCUCCUGCUGCAUGGUGGGGGUUGGAAAGUUUCGGCGGUUGGGGAUGGACUCGCGGCUUAUCAGCUUGUUGGUGGGGUAGUGGCUUACCAAGGCUUUGACGGGUAGCCGGCCUGAGAGGGUGACCGGCCACAUUGGGACUGAGAUACGGCCCAGACUCCUACGGGAGGCAGCAGUGGGGAAUAUUGCACAAUGGGCGGAAGCCUGAUGCAGCAACGCCGCGUGCGGGAUGACGGCCUUCGGGUUGUAAACCGCUUUCGCCUGUGACGAAGCGUGAGUGACGGUAAUGGGUAAAGAAGCACCGGCUAACUACGUGCCAGCAGCCGCGGUGAUACGUAGGGUGCGAGCGUUGUCCGGAUUUAUUGGGCGUAAAGGGCUCGUAGGUGGUUGAUCGCGUCGGAAGUGUAAUCUUGGGGCUUAACCCUGAGCGUGCUUUCGAUACGGGUUGACUUGAGGAAGGUAGGGGAGAAUGGAAUUCCUGGUGGAGCGGUGGAAUGCGCAGAUAUCAGGAGGAACACCAGUGGCGAAGGCGGUUCUCUGGGCCUUUCCUGACGCUGAGGGGCGAAAGCGUGGGGAGCGAACAGGCUUAGAUACCCUGGUAGUCCACGCUGUAAACGGUGGGUACUAGGUGUGGGGUCCAUUCCACGGGUUCCGUGCCGUAGCUAACGCUUUAAGUACCCCGCCUGGGGAGUACGGCCGCAAGGCUAAAACUCAAAGGAAUUGACGGGGCCCCGCACAAGCGGCGGAGCAUGCGGAUUAAUUCGAUGCAACGCGUAGAACCUUACCUGGGUUUGACAUGGAUCGGGAGUGCUCAGAGAUGGGUGUGCCUCUUUUGGGGUCGGUUCACAGGUGGUGCAUGGCUGUCGUCAGCUCGUGUCGUGAGAUGUUGGGUUAAGUCCCGCAACGAGCGCAACCCUUGUUCACUGUUGCCAGCACGUUAUGGUGGGGACUCAGUGGAGACCGCCGGGGUCAACUCGGAGGAAGGUGGGGAUGACGUCAAGUCAUCAUGCCCCUUAUGUCCAGGGCUUCACGCAUGCUACAAUGGCUGGUACAGAGAGUGGCGAGCCUGUGAGGGUGAGCGAAUCUCGGAAAGCCGGUCUCAGUUCGGAUUGGGGUCUGCAACUCGACCUCAUGAAGUCGGAGUCGCUAGUAAUCGCAGAUCAGCAACGCUGCGGUGAAUACGUUCCCGGGGCUUGUACACACCGCCCGUCAAGUCAUGAAAGUUGGUAACACCCGAAGCCGGUGGCCUAACCGUUGUGGGGGAGCCGUCGAAGGUGGGACUGGUGAUUAGGACUAA